UGGGGAAUUUUGGACAAUGGGCGAAAGCCUGAUCCAGCCAUGCCGCGUGAGUGAAGAAGGCCUUCGGGUUGUAAAGCUCUUUCGCAAGGAAAGAAAACUUAUCCUCUAAUACGGGAUGAGGUUGACGGUACCUUGAUAAGAAGCACCGGCUAACUACGUGCCAGCAGCCGCGGUAAUACGUAGGGUGCGAGCGUUAAUCGGAAUUACUGGGCGGAAAGCGUGCGCAGGCGGUUUUGUAAGUCAGAUGUGAAAUCCCCGGGCUCAACCUGGGAACUGCGUUUGAAACUACAAGGCUAGAGUGUAGAAGAGGGGGGUAGAAUUCCACGUGUAGCAGUGAAAUGCGUAGAGAUGUGGAGGAAUACCGAUGGCGAAGGCAGCCCCCUGGGCUAACACUGACGCUCAUGCACGAAAGCGUGGGGAGCAA
rnacentral:rRNA from 1 species